rnacentral:lncRNA from 1 species
GGCUUAAAUAUACAGAAAUUUAAAGAUUUCAGAUUUUGAAUAAGAUUGUUGUCACAUGGUAUAUUCAGAAAAAAAUGUCUUUCUUCUUAAAUCAGUCAAGGAGACCAACUAAAGAAAUCCACUGGGACUUAUAUCAGUCAAGGAGACCAACUAAAGAAAUCCACUGGGACUUAUAUCAGUCAAGGAGACCAACUAAAGAAAUCCACUGGGACUUAUAUCAGUCAAAUAAAUGGUAGGUAUUU